rnacentral:rRNA from 1 species
GAUGAACGCUGGCGGCGUGCUUAACACAUGCAAGUCGAACGGAAAGGCCAGUGCUUGCCCUGGUACUCGAGUGGCGAACGGGUGAGUAACACGUGGGUGAUCUGCCCUGCACUUCGGGAUAAGCCUGGGAAACUGGGUCUAAUACCGGAUAGGACAAUGGUUUGGAUGCCGUUGUGGAAAGUUUUUUCGGUGUGGGAUGAGCUCGCGGCCUAUCAGCUUGUUGGUGGGGUAAUGGCCUACCAAGGCGUCGACGGGUAGCCGGCCUGAGAGGGUGUACGGCCACAUUGGGACUGAGAUACGGCCCAGACUCCUACGGGAGGCAGCAAUGGGGAAUAUUGCACAAUGGGCGCAAGCCUGAUGCAGCGACGCCGCGUGGGGGAUGACGGCCUUCGGGUUGUAAACUCCUUUCGCUAGGGACGAAGCGUAUUUGUGACGGUACCUGGAGAAGAAGCACCGGCUAACUACGUG